rnacentral:tRNA from 1 species
UCUUGGCUCUUCUUUUGUUGAAGAAAGACCAACUCGGCCACGGAUACAAUAGGCUGAAUCAGCUC